CCACCCAGCAACACUACACCACUACACCCGCCAACGACCACAAUACCAGCUCUAACCAGCAUCAUGCAUUCCUCCAUCAAGCAACGACUGAUGGGGAAACAAACACAGUUCCCCACCAUAUACAACAUGUUCAUGAAUGGAAGACAAUAGAUUUUUCCUCCAUUAACAACCACCACCAAUUCAAUGUAAAUAGUCUAGGCCUGUACAUAUGAUAAUCCACACACUACAUAUAGUUUAAUUAAUACACAAUUGUCACAUAAAGAUAUGCAGUUACAGAAUAUUCAUUAAAUUCAUCAACAUUAUAAAGUUGUACAGUUGUUUAAUUCAUACAUAUCCACCCUAAACCCAGACCCAAUUAAAACCCACCUGAAGUUUAUCAUGACCAACCAGCAUAACACCAUACGAACGCCUCACCAUUCAGCUUUCAAAGAACGAGAAAUAAAAGGCAAAAAUGUCUGUCGCGGGCUCGGCCACAGAGCAAAUAUCAAAACAUUAAUAUGCAUCUCAACCACCAUAUUUCACCGUUUUAAUUAAUACAAACACCGAGAAAUAUUAAACUGACAGACAAAUUUCGUAGCAGAAAACUUUUUGUCACAAACUGUGCCACGGAGCAUUCACACUACUUAACACUCACCACCGUCACAUCCAUUUCGAACUACCGUUCACCUUUCAAAGAACGAG